AAAUGAGCAAUAAAUCUCGGGAAAAACAGACGCGCUUGUUGUUUUAAUCGCCGUCAUGAACAGACACAACAGCAUACUGACACAGCGGCUUAGAGAUCUCCAAAGGCACCGGUGAGCGCGCGGGUGAGCAUGCCCGGUGACGUAGCGGCCCCGUCCGUGUGGGAAGUGGUGAGCGUGCUGGGCAGAGCGUUGUGCGCAGGCGCGGCUCUUACAGCCGCUCUCUACCUGAUCCGCAGAGUGUGUUUAAUAAUGGCCUGGAAAUCAGGAGGAGCCAACCAAGCGGAGCUUGUCAACAACCUCCGCAAGAAUGGCAUCAUCAAGUCGGACCGUGUGUACGAAGUCAUGCUAAGCACAGACCGAGCCCAUUUCUCCAGAUGUAACCCUUAUAUGGACUCUCCACAGUCUAUAGGAUACCAGGCAACCAUCAGUGCGCCACAUAUGCAUGCAUAUGCACUGGAGUUGUUACAUGAUCAGCUAUAUGAAGGUGCCAAAGCUCUGGAUGUGGGAUCAGGCAGCGGCAUCCUGUCCGUCUGUUUCGCCAGAAUGGUGGGGCCAAAAGGAAAAGUCAUCGGGAUCGACCACAUAAAGGAACUGGUGGACGACUCGAUCAACAACGUUAAGAAGGAUGAUCCCACUCUGAUAUCAUCAGGUCGCAUCAAACUUCUCGUUGGAGAUGGCAGGUUGGGCUAUCCGGAGGAGGCUCCCUAUGAUGCGAUACACGUAGGAGCCGCAGCUCCCUCUGUUCCACAGGCUUUACUGGACCAGCUGAAGCCUGGUGGGCGUCUCAUCCUGCCAGUCGGACCAGCUGGAGGGAACCAGAUGCUGGAGCAGCAUGACAAGCUGGAGGACGGCAGCACCAAAAUGAAGCCCCUCAUGGGGGUGAUUUACGUGCCUUUAACAGACAAAGACAAGCAGUGGUCCAGGUGGAAGUGACUUCCUGUUCCUCUCUUCCCCCUCCCUCCUUUCCCCAGGGAACAGGUGAAAAUGGUGUGGAGCAAGACAAGGCUGCCUUUGCUGGAUGAGCUCUAAAACAACAAUCUGGCAAUAUUCACGAUCAUACAUACACACACAUACACACACACACACACACAUACAGCAUCCAUCUGGACUUAACAACUAACGACAGGAUGGUAAACGGACGACGAAGAAAAGCCACGCUCUCUGCACUCUCGCUCUCGGGACAGUCUGAUCGCCGUGUGGCCAAAGAGCCAUCAGGAUGGAUAAAACAGACGGCUUUAAAAAAAAACAAAAAAACAACAACAACAAAGGAAAAUAAAAACUAAAUGAGGGGCUUUGUCUUGA